GGUUAAGCGACUAAGCGUACACGGUGGAUGCCCUGGCAGUCAGAGGCGAUGAAGGACGUGCUAAUCUGCGAUAAGCGUCGGUAAGGUGAUAUGAACCGUUAUAACCGGCGAUUUCCGAAUGGGGAAACCCAGUGUGUUUCGACACACUAUCAUUAACUGAAUCCAUAGGUUAAUGAGGCGAACCGGGGGAACUGAAACAUCUAAGUACCCCGAGGAAAAGAAAUCAACCGAGAUUCCCCCAGUAGCGGCGAGCGAACGGGGAGGAGCCCAGAGCCUGAAUCAGUGUGUGUGUUAGUGGAAGCGUCUGGAAAGGCGCGCGAUACAGGGUGACAGCCCCGUACACAAAAAUGCACAUGCUGUGAGCUCGAUGAGUAGGGCGGGACACGUGGUAUCCUGUCUGAAUAUGGGGGGACCAUCCUCCAAGGCUAAAUACUCCUGACUGACCGAUAGUGAACCAGUACCGUGAGGGAAAGGCGAAAAGAACCCCGGCGAGGGGAGUGAAAAAGAACCUGAAACCGUGUACGUACAAGCAGUGGGAGCACGCUUAGGCGUGUGACUGCGUACCUUUUGUAUAAUGGGUCAGCGACUUAUAUUCUGUAGCAAGGUUAACCGAAUAGGGGAGCCGAAGGGAAACCGAGUCUUAACUGGGCGUUAAGUUGCAGGGUAUAGACCCGAAACCCGGUGAUCUAGCCAUGGGCAGGUUGAAGGUUGGGUAACACUAACUGGAGGACCGAACCGACUAAUGUUGAAAAAUUAGCGGAUGACUUGUGGCUGGGGGUGAAAGGCCAAUCAAACCGGGAGAUAGCUGGUUCUCCCCGAAAGCUAUUUAGGUAGCGCCUCGUGAAUUCAUCUCCGGGGGUAGAGCACUGUUUCGGCAAGGGGGUCAUCCCGACUUACCAACCCGAUGCAAACUGCGAAUACCGGAGAAUGUUAUCACGGGAGACACACGGCGGGUGCUAACGUCCGUCGUGAAGAGGGAAACAACCCAGACCGCCAGCUAAGGUCCCAAAGUCAUGGUUAAGUGGGAAACGAUGUGGGAAGGCCCAGACAGCCAGGAUGUUGGCUUAGAAGCAGCCAUCAUUUAAAGAAAGCGUAAUAGCUCACUGGUCGAGUCGGCCUGCGCGGAAGAUGUAACGGGGCUAAACCAUGCACCGAAGCUGCGGCAGCGAC
rnacentral:rRNA from 1 species